AAUGAACCCAGGUAGUCCACCCCGUAAACGUUGGGAACUAGUUGUGGGGUCCUUUCCACGGAUUCCGUGACGCAGCUAACGCAUUAAGUUCCCCGCCUGGGGAGUACGGCCGCAAGGCUAAAACUCAAAGGAAUUGACGGGGACCCGCACAAGCGGCGGAGCAUGCGGAUUAAUUCGAUGCAACGCGAAGAACCUUACCAAGGCUUGACAUACACCGGAAACGGCCAGAGAUGGUCGCCCCGCAAGGUCGGUGUACAGGUGGUGCGUGGUUGUCGUCAGCUCGUGUCGUGAGAUGUUGGGUUAAGUCCCGCAACGAGCGCAACCCUCGUUCUAUGUUGCCAGCACGUAAUGGUGGGAACUCAUGGGAUACUGCCGGGGUCAACUCGGAGGAAGGUGGGGAUGACGUCAAAUCAUCAUGCCCCUUAUGUCUUGGGCUUCACGCAUGCUACAAUGGCCGGUACAAAGGGCUGCAAUACCGUGAGGUGGAGCGAAUCCCAAAAGCCGGUCCCAGUUCGGAUUGAGGUCUGCAACUCGACCUCAUGAAGUCGG
rnacentral:rRNA from 1 species